rnacentral:rRNA from 1 species
AGCAGCCGCGGUAAUUCCAGCUCCAAUAGCGUAUAUUAAAGUUGUUGCAGUUAAAAAGCUCGUAGUUGAAUUUCGAGACCGGUUUACUGGUCGUGCUUUUGUACGUACUGGUAUUAUUGGUUUCUCCUUUCUGACGAAUCUUAAUGCCAUUAAUUUGGUGUUUUGGGGAAUCAGGACUGUUACUUUGAAAAAAUUAGAGUGUUUAAAGCAGGCUCACGCUUGAAUACAUUAGCAUGGAAUAACGGAAUAGGACGUUUGAUUCUAUUUUGUUGGUUUCUAGGAUCGACGUAAUGAUUAAUAGGGAUAGUUGGGGGCAUUAGUAUUCAAUUGUCAGAGGUGAAAUUCUUGGAUUUAUUGAAGACUAACUACUGCGAAAGCAUUUGCCAAGGAUGUUUUCAUUAAUCAAGAACGAAAGUUAGGGGAUCGAAGACGAUCAGAUACCGUCGUAGUCUUAACCAUAAACUAUGCCGACUAGGGAUCGGAUGAUGUUAAUUUUUAAUGACUCAUUCGGCGCCUUACG